CCCUUUGCGAAUACCAAAAGACCUCGAGAGGUAUUUCUUCAUGUAUUUGAGAUAGAUAAUUCUUCGAUCAUAGGUCACGCUUGUGUCAUUGUUUCAUGGAGAAAAAGAAGAUAAGAAGAAGAAAAGGCACUCAAUUGUGCACAUGGCAUAUCCAAAGGUUUAUGUAGACCCUUUGAAACGACUAAAUCUCUUUUAGGGAGUCCCAUAUGAUUAAAUAAUACAAUUUUCUCAUUCAAAAUUCAUGGAAUAAUUGAAUGC
rnacentral:lncRNA from 1 species